UACGUAGGUGGCGAGCGUUGUCCGGAUUUACUGGGCGUAAAGAGCGCGCAGGCGGUCGUUCAAGUCGCGUGUGAAAGCCCCCGGCUCAACUGGGGAGGGUCACGCGAUACUGAUCGACUCGAAGGCAGGAGAGGGAAGUGGAAUUCCCGGUGUAGUGGUGAAAUGCGUAGAUAUCGGGAGGAACACCCAGGGGGAAACCAGCGGACUGGGCAUCAGCUGACGCUCAGGUGCGACAGCGUGGGGAGCGAACCGG
rnacentral:rRNA from 1 species